CACGCUGUUAUCCCUAAAGUAACUUUUUCUUAUAAUCCUUAAAAAAGGAUCAAUAUCUCUAAAAAUAAUUAUUUUAAUUCUCAAACAGUUACCUAUUUAUAUUCUUGUCGCCCCAGCAUAAUAAACAAAAACUAAUCCACUCUUAUACCAUAAUUUAAAAAUUAAUUCUUUUAUAUAAAGUUUUAUAGGGUCUUAUCGUCCCCUUAAUAUAUUUGAGCCUUUUCACUCAAAAGUAAAAUUUUACUUUUGCAGAUGAGACAGAUUAUUUUUUGUACGACCAUUCAUUCCAGCCUCCAAUUAAGAG
rnacentral:rRNA from 1 species